UCUCUCUCUUAAAAAAAUUGACCCGAUUUCCCUUCAUCGCCAUCUCAAUCUCAAUUUUUCCAUCCUCACCAUCUCCUCUCCAAAUUAACUCAAGUCCCUAUCCAAAUCAAUUUCAGGAACUCCAAAGACCUUCUCCUACUCUUCACGUCCUCCCAAUUUGAUCACUACGAGAAAGUUGAAUGAACAAGCUUCGGUAAAAACUGAUAUGGAAAUUACUAUCAGAUUCCAAUUUGCAUAUGGGAUUCCAAUUUGCAUGAGCACAAGGUUGCCAUCGUCUCCAAGAUCACUGACUUUGUAUUCAAGUUUAAUCCUAUAUUGCUAUGCCAAUUAGAAUAUGAAAUAUUAAAAAAUAGAAAUGUUUUUGUCCCUUAAUGGACGCAAAGUAUCUAUGCUUAUGAAUACUGCAAACUCAUUUAAGUACAUUUCUUUGUCACUUGCUCUGAUCUGGUAAAACAAACCAAACAAUAUAUAUUUUAUUUUUUACAAAUUAAUGGAAAAUGACUGAUUUUUGUAUUUUCUUCUUGUUCAUUUUUAUUGUUCAUGGUACUGGAAAAAUUAAGAUAGCAUUUAUUGUUCUUUUUGUAAGGUUUUUAUGAUGGAACGAGACUUCUACUUUGGAUUUAAGGAUCUCUCUUUGUUCACUAUUUACCUAGAUUAAAACAGCUGUGUUAUUGAGUUAACUUUUACUAGGGUCAAAUUAUUUGAAACUAAUUUUGCAAUAAUGGUCAAGGAUGGGAUGAACUGAUUUUGCAAAAAAAUGUUGAAGACGGGUUGAACUGAUUCUGCAAAAAUGGUCGAGGACGGGUUUAAGGGGUUAAACUGAUUAUACAAAAAUAGUCGAUGACGGGUUGAACUGAUUUUGCAUAAAUGAUCGAGGACGGGUUGAAUUUAUUCUGCAAAAAUAGUAGAGGACGACGAACUGAUUUGAAAAAAUGGUCGAAGAUGGGUUGAACUGAUUUUGCAAAAAUGGUCGAGGAUGAGUUGAACUGAUUAUGCAUAGAGAUCGAGGACGGGUUGAAUUGAUUCUACAAAAAUGGUUGAAGAUGGGUUAAACUAAUUCUGCAUAAAUGGUUGAUGACGGGUUGAAGAUUUUGCAAAAAUGGUCGAAGACGGGUUAAACUGAUUCUGCAAAAAUGGUUGAGGACGGGUUGAAUUGAUUCUGUAUAAUUAAUCGACGACGUGUUGAACUGAUUUUGCAAAAAUUGUCAAGGACAGUUUGAACAGAUUCUGCAUAAAUGGUCGAGGACCGGUUGAAUUGGUUAUGCGAAAAUGGUCGAGGAUGAGUUGAACUAAUUUUGCGAAAAUUGUCAAAGAUGGGUUGAACUGAUUCUGCAAAAAUGAUCGAGGAUGAGUUUAGCUUAUGACACAUAUUAAUUUUGUUGGAGUUGUGAAUUAAUAAGUUUAUUAAUAAUUCUAAAGCCUUAUGGGUAUGACUGAUAUUUUAAAA